UCCUGGGGUGUCACAUUUGUGACAUUUGAAUUUUGAAACAGGGGUUCAACAUCGAUUUGAGGAUUUGGCUCCAUCUUCUCUCUUUCUCAUGUAUAUUGAACGGCUCCAUCUUUUCUCUCUUUCUCAGAACACCACCGAUUUGAAGAUUAAAUCUGGGAGAUAUGACGUCGAAUAAGUUCGUUCUUCCGAUUCAACAACCAUCAGUUUAUAGGGAAUCAAGUCUGCAAAGAUCGGUGGCUACGGAGAAGAGUUCUCGGCUAUAGAUGGUGAUUGAGGUAGGUUCCGACAGACAAACUGAGGGAAGGGUUUCGGUCCAGGUGCACAUAUGCAUGGAACCGAUGAGGUUUGGUAUGAUGAUGCGUCACAGGAAGCCAUUGAAAACUGGCCCGAUAGGCCUUCUGACCCGCCAAGAAUGUUUCAUUUGGGCGCUGUUGGGAGGGUCAACACGUUUCACCCACCCGGCGAUGACAAUAUUUAUAGCUUAGAACUCCGGGAACUUUUAAGCAGGUAACACCUUUCCUAAGGAGGGCGUUUGAAUUUGUCAAACACUUUUGACAUCUGAUUAUUACAAUUUUAGACAAUAAAAUAACAUCUAAACACUAUUUUUUGAGUAAAAUUCCAAUUUUGUCCCUGAGGUUUGGCCAGUUUUGCGACUUUUUCCUCGAGCGGUUAUUACCGGUUACGGUUUCGGUUAAUAACCGGUUACAUCAAUCACUAUCGGCGUCGGUGCAACGUUUCUGACCCGCCAAGAAUGCUGCAUUUGGGCGCUUUUGGGUGGGUUAACACGCUUCACCCACCCGACGAUGAUAAUAUUUACAGCUUGGAACUCCGAGAACUUUUAAGCUGGUAACAUCUUCCUAAGGAGGGCCUUUGAAUUUGUCAAACACUUUUGACAUCUGAUUAUUACAAUUUCAGACAAUAAAUAACAUCUAAACACUAUUUUUUGAGUAAAAUGCCAAUUUCGUCCCUGAGAUUUGGCUAGUUUUACGACUUUUCUCUCGAGUAGUUAUUACCGGUUGUGGUUUCGGUUAAUAACUAUCCAAAGAGAUGUUUACGCUUCCUGAGAUGAAUAAACUAUCCAGAGAGAUCAGAUCUAGCUCUCUAGAUGUAUUGUUGUUUAGCUGUGGUAUAACAUUGUUUCCAUUUUUUUGUUAUAUUUGGUGAAUUGUUGUGUUAAGUUUGUAGUGGUUUUGAAUUUUUAUCUAU